rnacentral:rRNA from 1 species
UGGGGAAUAUUGGACAAUGGGCGAAAGCCUGAUCCAGCCAUGCCGCGUGUGUGAAGAAGGUCUUCGGAUUGUAAAGCACUUUAAGUUGGGAGGAAGGGCAUUAACCUAAUACGUUAGUGUUUUGACGUUACCGACAGAAUAAGCACCGGCUAACUCUGUGCCAGCAGCCGCGGUAAUACAGAGGGUGCAAGCGUUAAUCGGAAUUACUGGGCGUAAAGCGCGCGUAGGUGGUUUGUUAAGUUGGAUGUGAAAUCCCCGGUCUCAACCUGGGAACUGCAUUCAAAACUGACUGACUAGAGUAUGGUAGAGGUUGGUGGAAUUUCCUGUGUAGCGGUGAAAUGCGUAGAUAUAGGAAGGAACACCAGUGGCGAAGGCGACCACCUGGACUAAUACUGACACUAAGGUGCGAAAGCGUGGGGAGCAAACA